CUGGGAGCCACAAGUGAGAGCUGGGUGUCAGGUAGGGGUCAGAGGCUGGAGAGCUGCCCUAGGAGGGCACGACAAGCCCUCCAUACCAAGGUGCUACCCCUCCCUGAGCACCCAAAGAAAUUAAAGCACAGGGGAAGAAAAAGAAAAGGAAAGGAAAGAACAUCAACAAGCAGGAAAGGAACCAGAGGAGAGCAUCUAGGAGAAGACAUCCAGAUAAUGAAACUCCUUCUACCAAUGACAGCCACCUAAAGAACUGAGAAGUGUCACUUACCCAGAGGAAUCUCACAGAAGCAGAACUUCACUCCAGAUAACUUAUCACCUACUAUACCACACAGACACUUUUGGAUUUUAAUAGAUUUUUGCUAUAAUAAUAAAGACAAUAUUGGCAUAAGGGAUA
rnacentral:lncRNA from 1 species